rnacentral:rRNA from 1 species
UACGAAGGGUCCAAGCGUUGUUCGGAAUCAUUGGGCGUAAAGCGCGCGCAGGCGGAUCAGCAAGUCAGAUGUGAAAUCUCGGAGCUCAACUCCGAAACUGCGUCUGAAACUGCUAGUCUAGAAUGUCGGAGGGGGCAGGGGAAUUUCACGUGUAGGGGUAAAAUCCGUAGAGAUGUGAAGGAACACCGGAGGCGAAGGCGCCUGCCUGGACGACUAUUGACGCUGAGGCGCGAAAGCGUGGGGAGCGAACAGG